CCUACGGGGGGCAGCAGUGGGGAAUAUUGGACAAUGGGGGGAACCCUGAUCCAGCCAUGCCGCGUGUGUGAAGAAGGCCCUCGGGUUGUAAAGCACUUUCAGUGAGGAAGAACGCCUGGUGGUUAAUACCCAUCAGGAAAGACAUCACUCACAGAAGAAGCACCGGCUAACUCCGUGCCAGCAGCCGCGGUAAUACGGAGGGUGCGAGCGUUAAUCGGAAUUACUGGGCGUAAAGCGCGCGUAGGUGGCUUGAUAAGCCGGUUGUGAAAGCCCCGGGCUCAACCUGGGAACGGCAUCCGGAACUGUCAAGCUAGAGUGCAGGAGAGGAAGGUAGAAUUCCCGGUGUAUCGGUGAAAUGCGUAGAGAUCGGGAGGAAUACCAGUGGCGAAGGCGGCCUUCUGGACUGACACUGACACUGAGGUGCGAAAGCGUGGGUAGCAAACAGGAUUAGAUACCCGUGUAGUC
rnacentral:rRNA from 1 species